rnacentral:rRNA from 1 species
CACGUAGGGGGCAAGCGUUGUCCGGAUUUAUUGGGCGUAAAGAGCUCGUAGGCGGUUCGAUAAGUCGGGUGUGAAACCUCCAGGCUCAACCUGGAGACGCCACCCGAUACUGUCGUGACUAGAGUCCAGUAGGGGAGCGUGGAAUUCCUGGUGUAGCGGUGAAAUGCGCAGAUAUCAGGAGGAACACCAGCGGCGAAGGCGGCGCUCUGGGCUGGAACUGACGCUGAGGAGCGAAAGCGUGGGGAGCGAACAGG